UGGGGAGCACAGAGGACUAGAGGGAGAGGCUCCGAUCAAGAGAGCAGGCGGGGAGGAGCGAACAGAGGAAGAUGAGGGAGGAGACGGAAGAGCUCUGCCUGGCCCGUCCUGCUGGAGUGUGAGCAGACCUCAGCCGCCAGGAGGAUGUGAUUUGAAGAGGAAUAUUAAGGAUGCUACAGAACUCUCUGUGCCCUUCAUCCAGCUUCUCCAGUGUCCACGUGGUAAAUUGCCAUGGUGCAUCCAUGCAGAUAAAGCAAUCAACAUUGGGGCAACUCUAGCACAUUGCCCUCCCAUGAGCCUAGCCAUGCAGAGAAAGAGACAGCAACGUGGACAGAGCUACUUCCCACCACAGCAGCAACCCCUUCCUGCACGGUGCUGAAGGAUCUUGGGUCUGAGGAGCACAGUCAUGGUUAUGGCUUCCUGAUCCUGGCAUGCAGCCAACAUGGAUGAUCCUGGAAUCUGCUGGCUGGAUUCUGAAGCUGUUCCUUGUCAGCUCCUUUGUUACCCCAGUUCUUCGGUGAGCUUUCUGGGAAGCAGACACUGAAAAACAAAGCUUCCAACUUUGAAACAAGUUCCUAAGCACCAAUUCUUCAUCUUGAAUUCCUUUUUUGAUUUAAAUUACUAUAGUUGCUUCUAUUGUCUGCAAGUUAGGUGUGCCUGAAAUUCUUGCUAGAGAGAAAGAAAGUGAACUACGCAGAGCUAUGUGCCAGAGGAAGAGAGAAAUCAAAGAGGAGGCCUGAGCCACAGUAGGGAAGAAAAGGACACAGGAAAACAUGGACGGAAAUGGAAACGCAAGGAAGACGCCAGUGUGCAAAUAAUUAGAAGGUGUGUUCACACGAACCCUGAAAGAUGCAACUUAGGGAAAAAGAGAGUCAAGGUGGGGCUGGACAUGGGAUCUGGGAGUCAGUGUGCACACCUGUAAUUCCAGCAUCAGGAGACUAGAAGAGGCAGAUCAAGAACUCCAGGCCACCCUGGGUUGUAUAACAAGACACCCCUCCCCCCCCCAAAAAAAAG